rnacentral:lncRNA from 10 species
GGCUUAGAGAAAUAUUAGAGGAACUAUGAGAGGAAAGGUCAGGGAAGCUAACUCUAAACAGCAAGUAAUUCAGCAAAAAUUUCAGGAAAGCAACCAGAGAUCUCAGCCAGAAGCUCCCAGUAACUGUCUUGGAAACUGCUGCUGUGCUAACGGUUCUAUGUGAAACUCUCACUAAUUGUCUUUGUGUGCAACAGCCAAGCAGCUCACACCAGUGUUUUUUGCUGGCAAAGCCUAACAUAGAAACAUACAGAGAGAAGGUUUUGGGAAAUGCGGAGGAGACCUUGGAAAGCUGCGGUAAUGAUGUCAAGUUGACAAUAGCCAAACAUCACAAGAAGAAAUCAAAUUUUGUGAAUGAAGCAAUAAUACAGUGAAGUUGUUCAACAUUUCACAGCUAUUAAACAGCACAGUAAUUUU